rnacentral:rRNA from 1 species
GACGAACGCUGGCGGCGUGCCUAAUACAUGCAAGUCGAACGAACUCUGGUAUUGAUUGGUGCUUGCAUCAUGAUUUACAUUUGAGUGAGUGGCGAACUGGUGAGUAACACGUGGGAAACCCGCCCAGAAGCGGGGGGAUAACACCUGGAAACAGAUGCUAAUACCGCAUAACAACUUGGACCGCAUGGUCCGAGUUUGAAAGAUGGCUUCGGCUAUCACUUUUGG